AGGAUGAACGCUGGCGGCGUGCUUAACACAUGCAAGUCGAACGGUGAAGCCCAGCUUGCUGGGUGGAUCAGUGGCGAACGGGUGAGUAACACGUGAGCAACCUGCCCCUGACUCUGGGAUAAGCGCUGGAAACGGUGUCUAAUACUGGAUAUGAGCUACCACCGCAUGGUGAGUGGUUGGAAAGAUUUUUCGGUUGGGGAUGGGCUCGCGGCCUAUCAGCUUGUUGGUGAGGUAAUGGCUCACCAAGGCGUCGACGGGUAGCCGGCCUGAGAGGGUGACCGGCCACACUGGGACUGAGACACGGCCCAGACUCUACGGGAGGCAGCAGUGGGGAAUAUUGCACAAUGGGCGGAAGCCUGAUGCAGCAACGCCGCGUGAGGGACGACGGCUUCGGGUUGUAAACCUCUUUUAGCAGGGAAGAAGCGAGAGUGACGGUACCUGCAGAAAAAGCGCCGGCUAACUACGUGCCAGCAGCCGCGGUAAUACGUAGGGCGCAAGCGUUAUCCGGAAUUAUUGGGCGUAAAGAGCUCGUAGGCGGUUUGUCGCGUCUGCUGUGAAAACCCGAGGCUCAACCUNNGGGCUGCAGUGGGUACGGGCAGACUAGAGUGCGGUAGGGGAGAUUGGAAUUCCUGGUGUAGCGGUGGAAUGCGCAGAUAUCAGGAGGAACACCGAUGGCGAAGGCAGAUCUCUGGGCCGUAACUGACGCUGAGGAGCGAAAGGGUGGGGAGCAAACAGGCUUAGAUACCCUGGUAGUCCACCCCGUAAACGUUGGGAACUAGUUGUGGGGUCCUUUCCACGGAUUCCGUGACGCACGUAACGCAUUAAGUUCCCCGCCUGGGGAGUACGGCCGCAAGGCUAAAACUCAAAGGAAUUGACGGGGACCCGCACAAGCGGCGGAGCAUGCGGAUUAAAUCGAUGCAACGCGAAGAACCUUACCAAGGCUUGACAUACACGAGAACGCUGCAGAAAUGUAGAACUCUUUGGACACUCGUGAACAGGUGGUGCAUGGUUGUCGUCAG
rnacentral:rRNA from 1 species